rnacentral:rRNA from 1 species
GAUGAACGCUGGCGGCGUGCCUAAUACAUGCAAGUCGAGCGAACGGACGAGAAGCUUGCUUCUCUGAUGUUAGCGGCGGACGGGUGAGUAACACGUGGAUAACCUACCUAUAAGACUGGGAUAACUUCGGGAAACCGGAGCUAAUACCGGAUGAUAUUUUGAACCGCAUGGUUCAAAGGUGAAAGACGGUCUUGCUGUCACUUAUAGAUGGAUCCGCGCUGCAUUAGCUAGUUGGUAAGGUAACGGCUUACCAAGGCAACGAUGCAUAGCCGACCUGCGAGGGUGGUCGGCCACACGGGAACUGAGACACGGUCCAGACUCCUACGGGAGGCAGCAGUAGGGAAUCUUCCGCAAUGGGCGAAAGCCUGACGGAGCAACGCCGCGUGAGUGAUGAAGGUCUUCGGAUCGUAAAACUCUGUUAUUAGGGAAGAACAUAUGUGUAAGUAACUGUGCACAUCUUGACGGUACCUAAUCAGAAAGCCACGGCUAACUACGUG